UACGUAGGGCGCAAGCGUUAUCCGGAAUUAUUGGGCGUAAAGAGCUCGUAGGCGGUUUGUCGCGUCUGCCGUGAAAGUCCGGGGCUCAACUCCGGAUCUGCGGUGGGUACGGGCAGACUAGAGUGAUGUAGGGGAGACUGGAAUUCCUGGUGUAGAGGUGAAAUUCGUAGAGAUCGGGAGGAACACCAGUGGCGAAGGCGACUAUCUGGCUGACAACUGACGCUGAGACUGAAAGCAUGGGGAGCAAACAGG
rnacentral:rRNA from 1 species